UACGUAGGGGGCAAGCGUUGUCCGGAUUUAUUGGGUGUAAAGAGCGUGUAGGCGGCUUUACAGGUCCGUUGUGAAAACUCGAGGCUCAACCUCGAGACGCCGGUGGAAACCGUAAGGCUAGAGUCCGGAAGAGGAGAGUGGAAUUCCUGGUGUAGCGGUGAAAUGCGCAGAUAUCAGGAAGAACACCCGUGGCGAAGGCGGCUCUCUGGGACGGUACUGACGCUGAGACGCGAAAGCGUGGGGAGCGAACAGG
rnacentral:rRNA from 1 species